rnacentral:tRNA from 1 species
GCGGACGUGGUGGGAUAGCAUGGGAAACGCCAGCGGUUCGGCUCCGGACCGAAAGGCAGCAGGUUCAAUUCCUGCCAGGCGCACCA